UCCCUGGUGACUUAGAGGGUAAAGCAUCUGCCUGCGAUGCAGGAGACCCGGGUUCGAUCCCUGGUUCAGGAA
rnacentral:tRNA from 1 species